GACGUAGGGCGCGAGCGUUGUCCGGAUUUAUUGGGCGUAAAGAGCCCGCAGGCGGCUUGGCAAGUUUGAGGUGAAAUCUCCCGGCUUAACUGGGAGGGGGCCUCGAAAACUGCCAGGCUUGAGGCAUGGAGAGGGAUGCGGAAUUCCCGGUGUAGUGGUGAAAUGCGUAGAUAUCGGGAGGAACACCAGUGGCGAAGGCGGCAUCCUGGCCAUGUCCUGACGCUCAGGGGCGAAAGCGUGGGGAGCAAACCGG
rnacentral:rRNA from 1 species